rnacentral:rRNA from 1 species
ACGGGAGGCGCAGUGGGGAAUAUUGGGCAAUGGGCGCAAGCCUGACCCAGCGACGCCGCGUGAGGGAAGAAGGUCUUCGGAUUGUAAACCUCUUUCAGCAGGGAAGACCAAGAGACGGUACCUGCAGAAGAAGUCACGGCUAACUACGUGCCAGCAGCCGCGGUAAUACGUAGGUGUCGAGCGUUAUCCGGAAUUACUGGGUGUAAAGGGUGUGUAGGCGGAGAGGCAAGUCAGGCGUGAAAUACGUGGGCUCAACCCACGAACUGCGCUUGAAACUGUUUCCCUUGAGAGUGGGAGAGGUAAACGGAAUUCCUGGUGUAGUAGUGAAAUGCGUAGAUAUCAGGAGGAACACCGGUGGCGAAGGCGGUUUACUGGACCACAACUGACGCUGAGACACGAAAGCGUGGGGAGCAAACAGGAUUAGAUACCCUGGUA